UGCCGUCUGAGAGACCGCCGGCCGCUCCCUUCGAGACUCGCUGCAAAGCAAACCUUUUUUAGGAUCUGAAAGAGGGAGAGAGAAAGAGGAAAAAAAGUAAAGAAAGUAGCAGAGUUGCGUGUGAGGAUGUCUGACAGGCAGAGGGGAGCGGAGGUCGUAAAAAAGUUCUGGGCAGGCGGGUUGCGGAGCAGCCGAAAACAUUCCACUCAUUGUUCUCAGGGCUCGCAAGGCUGAGCCAGACGCCGCGCAGCCCAAACAACUCAGAGAGGGCAGAAAGGAACGGAGAGCGAAGGAAAGGGUGCGAAGGAAGAAAAAAAAAAGAGUCCCAAGGAAAAACAAGGAGGCUCUGGAAAAAUGGAUCCACUAAGUUUGUGGCGUUGAAAGGUACAGAUGUGUACAGAGCUAAUUAUAAUUAUCAUUAAGGCUUCAGAAUUUUUUAAAGAACUACUAUGAAAUUAAAAUGCAUGUUACAAAGUAAUUAGAGUAAGGAAAUGUGUGUUAACCCCUUUUUCAAACAGCUGUUUUCCACCUAAAAAGAGAACGGAUUUAUUAGAAACACAUUUAUAAAUGAAACGACUGCCCAUCGAUUUCUAUUAUUAGUGUCAUUUGAGUCAACGUGUUUUCAGUUCUUUUAGAAGUACAGGGAAAUGCUUCAAAGCUGUUGUCAGUGGUAAUCGACCCUAUGUUGCAGGUUUAUUAUUCAGUUAUUGUUCAGUAAUUAUUAUGAAACAGAUACGUAAGUUGUGUAGCUAUGAGAGCGAAGAACUAAAGUAUGGACUGACAUACAGAUGCUUAUAGUUGAAUGGGUUAAAAAAAAACAGAUCAGACAUCAAAGAGCAGAGAGAAGCCCACUGAGGUGAUUAUUCAUCUCAUAUUGCUCUUAUUAAGGACCAGAGUGUUAGAGGGCAGAGGGGAGGGGGAGAGAGAGCGAGAGAGAGAGAAGGCGAGGUUUCUGGCCUUAGGCCCGUCGCUUGGUGGAGUUCUGAAGAGUGGGACAGGGACCAGGAAACAGUGUGCUAGUGGAACAAGUGCAGUGUGCUAUUCUGUGUGAGUGAGUAAGUGAAUGUGUGUGUAUGAGAGAGAGAGAGAGAGAGAGAGAGAGAGAGAGAGAGAGAGAGAGAGAGAGAGAGGGACAGCUUAGCCACUGACGCCUCCAUGCCAUUAUGGCGUGCCGAAGGUCUCCUGCUAAAGGGUUUAGGUUACACAGACGCUGAAAGUCAGAGAAAAAGUGGUGGAGCAGCUGGGCCUCAAUCAGACUGCAGCUCAAGCACUAAAUACUGUGUGUAGUUUCCAUAACUGCUUCUCAGAUAGAUAGAUAGACAGAUACAUACAUACAUUCACACAUAGAUAGAUAGAUAGAGUCCUAUGCAAAAGUUUGAAUACUCCAAGUCAAAUUACAUUAUAACACAACUUAAUUGUGGAAAUUUUCUGCAAAUUUUAGUGCACGAAUUUCUGUUUAUUUGCUGAGUUUAACAUAUUGACGAAAAUAAAAAAUCUAAAAUGUGCCACAACUUUUGCAAAGGCCACAUUUUAUGUAAUUUUCCCCCCAGUAUGUUAAAUUCAGUAAUUAAACAGUAAUUGUGCAUUCAAAAGUGUUCUCUGUAGAGGAUGUGUUAAUUUUUCAGUUGGAAAAUCAACAAAAUCAGAAGUGCCUAAACUUUUGCGUAUGACUGUAAAUAGAUAGAUAGACAGACAGAGAGUUACAGUACCAACAUACUUGGUCGAACAAACUUUCCACCUCAACACAGAAAAAGUAAAGAAUCUAAUUUGAUAAUGAGUGAGAGGUUAAUACUGUGAGCUGAUAUGAAUGUGAAAAACACACUUCACUCAGUCACAAAACCACAUAACGUCACUGUUGGAACAAAACCUCAUCUUCAAAAACCCAAUCUCCAAAAAAGUAGGCUACCAAAAAACAUUACUGAACAUUAAACAGUAUUGUUAAACAUUAAACAUCAUUAACCUUCACUGUAAGUUAAUGUACCAAGAUUUUAUUCAGAGUUAUUUUGGAGCAUUCCUAUCCCCUUUGUCAUGACAAUCUGACAUGGCGUAAACAGCAGCCGCAUUUUCAAACUUGAAAAAAAAAUAGUACUAAAAUAGCUUUUAUUCCGACAGUGACGUUAUAAGAUUCAUUGCAGUUACUAGAUAAAUCAUAUUGGUUACUGUAUAAUAUGUCUUAAAUUAAUAACCUAAUAAUAAGCCAGUAUGUGAACUCAUUAAACACCACUUUAAGAACUUUCUUUUUUUCCCCAUGAUAUAUGUUGAUUGGAAAAAAAUGUGAUUUUUGACAAAGUGCAUUCAGUGUCAGCUGUAAUUCUUGUUAAACAAAUAAACAACUAUACAACAUUUCAGAAGUCUUUAUUUUUAGGGAUUAAUUGACAACUCAGUUUCAAUGCCAUUGAAUUUGACUUUGCUUUGAAGACAAGAAGUGCGUAAGCAAACUCGGCCCAUAUAUGCACUCGGUCUCACACAUACGCACACGGCCGAGCAUGCAGGUAGCUGCACUGUACCGAGUCAUUCGCCCUGUUUCUGCUGAGUCACCAGGCUAAUGACCCCCACACCCACCUUCUGUGAUCCACACGUUUACAGCUGAAGAUUUAUGAUGUUAAAAAAGUUUUUUUUUUUUUUUAACUCAAACUCCACAGGAGUUUCACUACAAAUCCUCUUCAGAUUUAAGUAUACUUUUUAGAAUGAUGCAAAAUCCUAAUAUAAAAUCAGCCACAUGUACGCUGAAGAAAAACUGUGCAGUAAAUAAACAAGCAGGGUAUAAGACAGUAUGUGUACUGUAAAUGGGCUUCCGUGCAAGUAGGCCACACACACACGGGUGUAGACGAAGGAAAAACGUGUGGAAAGAGUGCGGAGAGGAGAACCCAGCUGUUUCAACACUACACUCGCUCACUACUGGGGCUAGAAUUCUCUGAGGAGAGCGUCACUGUCUGGGAGACACAUUCAUACAGACACAGACAUUUGUAUUCCCCUCUUUGUGGGGUGUUUCUACUGACACCUGUACUAUUAGCUAAUGCAACUGCUAACCAAACCCUACACUUAACCAUGGCAACAAAAAGGAAAUCUUUAAGUGCUUAUACUUUUUCAUAUGUAAGUUGCAUUUCAUGUCAAAUAAAAAUAAAAACAAAUAAAUAAAUAAAUCAUUUUUGCCCAAAGCUCCUCCCGUGAAGUCGUUUGAUUUGGCACGCCAAAGACCCUGACCCCGCCCCCUCACCUUGUUUUCUUUUAAAUGUUUUUUUUUUGUCCAAUGACGACGUGUUAGUCAGUUUGAAAAGAUGUGGUGGCAUCACGUGUCUCUGAGGAAGUACAUGUUAUCCUUCACCCUCCUAGCUUGGUAGUAUCGUGUGCAUUAGUUACCAAGUGGAAUUGGUCAUGACUAAAUUUUUUUUACAAAAUUGGGUACAAAUGUAUUUUUGAGGUAUUCUGGUAACAGAAUAUAUUAGAAUUUUAUAAAAAAAAAUAUUUUAAAUUAUUUCUAAUAUUAUUAAUUUAUUUGUAUUUAUUUCUUUAUUUAUUUUGGUGACCUGCAUUCCUUCUUUAUUUGUAUAUUGUGAUUUUUGGACCUCUAAGAGCACCUUGGCCCCCCAAAACAAAAAGGUUGGGCACCACUGCUUGGGGUUUGGCCAAAUGUCCAAAUAACAUACACAUAAACACACAUUUCUCGGCUUACACACUCACCAACUGUGCACGUAUACAAACAUACACAUGCACUCACACAGGCGUAGGUGAAAGUUUGGGCAACCCUGGUUGAAUUACAUGUUUUGCUGACUUUCUAAGUGAAAAUAAGAACACAUCUUCUACAGAGAACACUAUUUAAUGCACAAUUACAUUUUAUUUGCUGAAUUUAACGUAUUGGGAAUAAAAACAAUGUGAGACAUUUAGUAUGUUAUAAUUUUAUUGCUUCUAUUAUUUUCCAAUAUAUUAAAUUCAGCAAAAAACAGAAACUGCAUUCAAAUGUGCAUAAAAUCUGUAGAGGAUGUGUUAACCUUUUUACACUUGGAUUUCACCAGGGGUGUUCAAACUUUGGCAUGUGACUAUGACUGUACACUCAUACAGUCAUACACAUGCAAUGGCACAUACAGAUCUACACUGAUACUUUCCAACUGGUCUCUUUUGCACUAGAAGCUGAAUUACCUGAUUUAGAUCAUAUUUAGAAGAGUUAUCAUUUAUGAACAUAAUAACUGAUGCUUGAAUAUUAAAUGUCACUCAGCACAUAUAGGCAGAGUGAACAGUGGUGUAUUAGUAGGCUUAAAGCCAACCUGAAAUCAAGAUUAAACAUUUUUUUUAUCGUAUUACCACAUAUCCUUGCUCAUAUUAAGUGUGAUUCAUCAUAUUAUGUAAAAUACAAAAUCCUCAUCCUCAUUGUCCUGUGUUCUCUAAUCAAAAUGUAGUGACUUUUGCACCGCAUCUAAAUUGUCUUCUGAGUUUUGUUUACAGCGGCAGGGAAAAUAAUAUAAAUCAAUAAUAUCAUGUUUCACUUCCCAAUUCCACUGAUCUUUGAGUGAACACUCUCAGCUAGCUCAGAGAGCCUCCCUGAUGUUGUGCUUUGCUCAGAAGUACAUCACAUUAUGGAAGGAAUAUUAAUGAUUCACGUUGACUUCAUUAAAAACCAUUAGUGAGCUGGGGCCCACACAGCUGGACGUUAUACACGGUAGUCGUGUGAGUGAACUGUGAACUGAAAAGUGAACUGAAAAGUUGAUCUGUCCAGCAGUUCCGUGCCAAAGUGGUGUUCGAGUUAGAGGGCACAGGUAUCACCACACUGGCACAAUUUUACAUGAAUUAUUUCUUACUCAUAACCUUGAAACAAGCAUAUUUGUGUUCCUAAAAAGAACAAGCAAUAUUCAAAUGAUUUGGGGAAAAAAAACUCUUAUAUUUUUCUCACAUUUCUGUCAUUUUUCAACAUUGGAGUAAAAGAAAAAGUGGAGUAAAAAGAAAUGCUUGUAGACUUGUAGAAACUUGUAGAUAUCAAAUGUACAUUGAAUGUAAAAUAAUGAUAUCGCUACUCAGAAAAUAAACUUACAGGGUUGUUUGAUGUAAAAACUGAAAAUAUGUCAACAUUAAUUGCAAAUGCAUUUUAUACAGAAGGUAAAUGCUGACUGUUCUCACUUUGACUGAAUGGAAAUAUGUGGCCAAAGUACAUAAAAUGUUUUUGUGUUAGCCAUUUAUUACAUAUGUAUGUAAUUUGAAAUGUACAGUAACACUAGCAGUUAAUUAAAUAGAUGAGGGAGAAGUUCAAGGCCUCUGCGUCCUCUCUCCUCUCACUCAUCUGAGGGUGGAGCCGCCCUAUGAGCUGUCACUCGCUCAGGCGGAGGGAAAGACUGAGCUCACCGGCGCUAACGACCGCUUCGAUGAGGGGAAGGGAAAAAAGAGGCAGAAGGAAAAGAUCUGAUGGAAAAUAUUAAUGGAUGGAUGGAGAGAGAGAGAGAGAGAGGGAGAGAGAGAAUAAAGUGUCAGGAUCCUCCCCAUGCCCAGCAUCACUCCAUCAAGAGCAAUGACAGCUGGGUAAAUGUCUCCAAGUGGUGGGGCUGAUCAGGAAAACGCAUUUACUCUCCAAACAGCUUCGAUACCUCAAAUAACCCUCAUCCUCCAAAAGCAAUAUUCAGCUUUCUAAUACGUCACCACCGAGCGGCUCCCUUCAGAGCGGCCGAGUCAGUGAAUAUGGAAAACGCAUAAAGGCGUCGCUAUGAAAACAAGUGUGUCCUACACUCCUUCCCAGAUAUUUUUUCUUUCUUUUUUUUUUUUUGAAGAUAAUUGGUCAUUCCAGUUUUCCCCUCAGCUGAGACACACUGUCCCCAUCUUUGCGGUGUGUGUGUAUGUGUGUGUUUGUGUGUGUGUGUGGGAAAGAUAACUCGAGUAAUCCAAUCAACUCUCCCUUCACAACCAGUCACGGUCGAGAGAGAGAGGGAGAGAAUAAGAGAGAGCGAGAAGAAGAAAGGGAGAAAAAGAGAAUGACAGAAAGAGUGAGAAAGAAAAAGGAAGAAAGAAACAAAGGGAUAAAGAAAGAAAGAAAAAGAAAGAGACAGAGAGGAAGGGGGAAGCUGGAAAAUGCAGGGUCAUCUAAGGAGACAAAAUGAAAAUGAAAGAGUGACAGAAGACAGAAAGAGAGAGGCGGAUAAACAGAGAGAGGAAAAAGACACAGAAGGAGAGA